AUUGAACGCUGGCGGCAUGCCUUACACAUGCAAGUCGAACGGCAGCACGGGAGCAAUCCUGGUGGCGAGUGGCGCACGGGUGAGUAAUACAUCGGAACGUGCCCACUCGUGGGGGAUAACGCAGCGAAAGCUGUGCUAAUACCGCAUACGAUCUACGGAUGAAAGCAGGGGACCGCAAGGCCUUGCGCGAAUGGAGCGGCCGAUGGCAGAUUAGGUAGUUGGUGGGGUAAAGGCUCACCAAGCCAACGAUCUGUAGCUGGUCUGAGAGGACGACCAGCCACACUGGGACUGAGACACGGCCCAGACUCCUACGGGAGGCAGCAGUGGGGAAUUUUGGACAAUGGGCGCAAGCCUGAUCCAGCCAUGCCGCGUGCAGGAUGAAGGCCUUCGGGUUGUAAACUGCUUUUGUACGGAACGAAACGGCCUUUUCUAAUAAAGAGGGCUAAUGACGGUACCGUAAGAAUAAGCACCGGCUAACUACGUG
rnacentral:rRNA from 1 species